CGGACGCACAUCGAUCGCAUCGGACGUCCGAGAAAUUUCGCAAAGAUUUGAUGACUCUCUGACGACGUUCGGACGCAGGGUUCGGACGUCCGACAGGUGGUUUGGACGCAGGGUUCGGACGUUCGACAGGUGGUUCGGACGUCCGACAGGCCAACGGCUAGUUUUGACAGCAUUUAAUAUUUGACCGUUGGAGAGCCUUUUGGAGCCAUUUCUCACCUUCUAUAAAAACCCCAAAGCACAAGAAGACAAGAGACUUUUGCCAACACAAAAUACAAGCUUACAAGUGAGAUUUUUGAGUAGAAAGAUUCUUUGUUGGUUGUAUAAGGGGUUGGGAAAGUUGGGUUGUGAGGUUGCUCAAGUGAAGGUUACUCUCUAGGAGGAGUAAAACCUUGGUGAAGGUGAACCUAUCACUUGAAGUGGUAAAACCUUGGUGAAGGUUGCCUCAUUUGUAUAAAAUAGUUCUUAAUUGGGUGAGUGAUCUUUCAAGUGUAGGUUGUUGAGGGUUAACUAGAAUAGUUGUAAAACUCCUUGGCUCAACCAAAGUGUGUUUGGGGUGAGGAAGGAGUGAGCCUUCACUUGUACAUCUUGGUUAGCAUCGCCAUCUAUUGAAGAGGCUAUUGGAUUGAUAUUUGGUUUGCAUUUCUUAUCUUUUCUCUUUAAUUAAGUUUUCUUUAUUGUGCUUAAAUUUGAUAUAUCUUUGUGCAUCAUUGUGAAAUUGUUUGUACUCAUUGGGUUGCACCGGGCACUUACAAUUGGUAUCAGAGCUUGGUCUCUUUUGAUCAAACUUAACCGCUUAGAGUAAAGAUCAUGGCAACCAUAAAAGUUUCUUUUUUAGAAGGGCAAUCUAUUGAUAGACCACCUAUGUUUAAUGGUUCUCAUUUUAGCAUGUGGAAACAAAGAAUGAUGAUUUUCUUACAAUCCGUUUAUAUUGAAUUAUGGUAUGUGGUAGAAGAUGGUUCUUAUGAAACUAGAAUAGUUGACUCCACCACCAAUUUGAGUAGAUUAAAGACUAGACAAGAAUUGAAUGAAAAAGACAAGAGAUACCUUUCUUUGAAUGCCAAAGCCAUGUGUAUAUUGUACAAUGCAUUAGAUGUAAAUGAAUCUAGCAGGAUUAAAGGUUGUAAAUCAGCUAAAGAUAUUUGGGAUAAAUUGUGUGUAUUUCAUGAAGGUAACCAAGAUAUUAAAGAACAAAAGAAAUCUUUGCUUGUUUCUCAAUAUGAAUUUUUCAAAAUGCAUCCUCUUGAAAAUGUUGAUAAGAUGUGUAGUAGAUUUUGUGACAUUAUUCAAGAUCUUAAAUUGCUUGGAAAAGAAUAUUCUUUGGGUGAGAAAAAUAGAAAGAUUUUGAAUGCCUUGCCAAAAGAAUGGGAAAACAAAAUAAAUGCUAUAGAAGAGGCAAAGGAUUUAAAUUCUAUGUCCAUUGAAUCUCUUGUGGAUACCCUAACCUCUUAUGAAUUAAAGCUGAAAUUCAAAGUGCAAGAGGAAGAAAAUGCAAGAAUGUAUAAGAGAGACAUAGCUUUUAAAGCAUCUCAAGUGGGGGAUAACCCAUCCUUCAUGGGUAAUGAAAUCAUGGAAGUGGAUAAUGAUAUAACUCCUCACAUCAAAAGUUUCAAGAAGAUUUUCAACAAGAGAUGUUCAAGAGGAGAUUGCAAAGUUACAUGGGAUGAAUGCAAUUCAAAAAGAGAAAAAGAAGAGUUGGCCCAAAUGGCACUAAUAGCCGUUGGAGAAGAUGAUGUGAGUUCUUAUCACUCUUCUUGUGAUGAAGAUAAUGAAGAUGAUGAUAUGAAAAUUCUUAUGAUUAAAAUGCAUAAAAGUUUGAGAAAAUCUUAUGCUAAAAAUAAAGAUUUGAAAACAAAAAUAAAUGAUUUGUUGGAAGAAAACUCCAAAUUGUUUCAAGAAAACAAAUGUUUGAGAAUGAAAAAUGAUGAUUUAAAAAAUCAAAAAAGUGUUUUUGAUUGCAAAAAUAAUUUAAAAAAGAAGUUGGAAGAGAAAACAAAAUUUUAUGAAAAAAUGUUGGAGGAACAAAAUUUGUUAAAAAAAAGAAUUAAUGACUUGAACGAGUUUCUCCAAAAUGAAAAACAAAAGUUUUCUCAAACAAAAGAAAGAAAAUCUUUUCAAGGCACAAAUAAGUUUGCUAUGAUAAGAGGUAAGAGAUUUAGUUGCAUUAAAUCCACCUAUGUGCAAAAUACUUCUAUCAUGUGUCACUUUUGUUGCAAAUUUGGACAUAUGCAAAAUGAUUGCUAUGUAAAGAAAAAUAUGAGAAAAGGCAUGAAAUCCAUGUGAAUUGCUAGAUCAUCUCGUAUUAACUCCCAUGGACCCUAUAAAGAAAGGGUACCAAAUGAAAUUUCUCAUAUUUAGGUACAUCAUGAAGAUUUGAUCCAAGAAGUGCUAAAUGGUUGUAAGCACAUUUGAAAAUUUUGAUAUUCAAUAUGGUCUUGAUUUGAAAAAUAAAGGGGGAGUUUGUUUUUUUUUUAUUGAUGCCAAAAGGGGGAGUAGGAUUUAUUGAAAUUUCUUUGUAUGUUGGCACUUUCUAAGGGGGAGCUUUAUUUGAACUUAUUUGAUAAAAGAAAUCUUCAUUUUGUUUGUCAUCAUCAAAAAGGGGGAGAUUGUUGACCUUGGUCGAUCAAUCCUUGGUUUUGAUGAUUAACAAACCAAAAUGUAGAUUUGGGCUAAUGUUUUUAUGUGAGCAAUUUGUUAGAACAGAUUCCUGUGGCAUAAAAAAAGAAACAAAAACAGGGCACUCAUGUCGGACGUCCGAAAGGAAGCUAUCGGACGUCCGAAAGGAUGAAGAACAUCAAGAAGGAAACUCUGUCGGACGCUCGUGAGGAAGCAUCGGACGUCCGGAAGGAUCGGACGCACGCCUCGGACGCACAUCGAUCGCAUCGGACGUCCGAGAAAUUUCGCAAAGAUUUGAUGACUCUCUGACGACGUUCGGACGCAGGGUUCGGACGUCCGACAGGUGGUUUGGACGCAGGGUUCGGACGUCCGACAGGCCAACGGCUAGUUUUGACAGCAUUUAAUAUUUGACCGUUGGAGAGCCUUUUGGAGCCAUUUCUCACCUUCUAUAAACACCCCAAAGCACAAGAAGACGAGAGACUUUUGCCAACACAAAAUACAAGCUUACAAGUGAGAUUUUUGAGUAGAAAGAUUCUUUGUUGGUUGUAUAAGGGGUUGGGAAAGUUGGGUUGUGAGGUUGCUCAAGUGAAGGUUACUCUCUAGGAGGAG
rnacentral:lncRNA from 1 species